rnacentral:rRNA from 1 species
ACUCCUGCGGGAGGCAGCAGUGGGGAAUUUUGGACAAUGGGCGAAAGCCUGAUCCAGCCAUGCCGCGUGCAGGAUGAAGGCCUUCGGGUUGUAAACUGCUUUUGUACGGAACGAAACGGCCUUUUCUAAUAAAGAGGGCUAAUGACGGUACCGUAAGAAUAAGCACCGGCUAACUACGUGCCAGCAGCCGCGGUAAUACGUAGGGUGCAAGCGUUAAUCGGAAUUACUGGGCGUAAAGCGUGCGCAGGCGGUUAUGUAAGACAGUUGUGAAAUCCCCGGGCUCAACCUGGGAACUGCAUCUGUGACUGCAUAGCUAGAGUACGGUAGAGGGGGAUGGAAUUCCGCGUGUAGCAGUGAAAUGCGUAGAUAUGCGGAGGAACACCGAUGGCGAAGGCAAUCCCCUGGACCUGUACUGACGCUCAUGCACGAAAGCGUGGGGAGCAAACAGGAUUAGAUACCCCAGUAGUCCCAUGA